rnacentral:rRNA from 1 species
GAUGAACGCUGGCGGCGUGCCUAAUACAUGCAAGUCGAGCGAACAGAUGAGGAGCUUGCUCCUCUGACGUUAGCGGCGGACGGGUGAGUAACACGUGGAUAACCUACCUAUAAGACUGGGAUAACUUCGGGAAACCGGAGCUAAUACCGGAUAAUAUAUUGAACCGCAUGGUUCAAUAGUGAAAGACGGCUUUGCUGUCACUUAUAGAUGGAUCCGCGCCGCAUUAGCUAGUUGGUAAGGUAACGGCUUACCAAGGCAACGAUGCGUAGCCGACCUGAGAGGGUGAUCGGCCACACUGGAACUGAGACACGGUCCAGACUCCUACGGGAGGCAGCAGUAGGGAAUCUUCCGCAAUGGGCGAAAGCCUGACGGAGCAACGCCGCGUGAGUGAUGAAGGUCUUCGGAUCGUAAAACUCUGUUAUUAGGGUAGAACAAAUGUGUAAGUAACUAUGCACGUCUUGACGGUACCUAAUCAGAAAGCCACGGCUAACUACGUG